rnacentral:rRNA from 1 species
AGCAGCCGCGGUAAUUCAGCUCCAAUAGCGUAUAUUAAAGUUGUUGCAGUUAAAAAGCUCGUAGUUGAAUUUCGGGAUUUGUCAGUUGGUCGGGCUUCACUGUCCGUACUGACUUGAUGGAUUCUUACCUUCUGAAUAACCAGCAUGCCAUUAAGUUAGUGCGUUGGGGAAGCAGAUCUAUUACCUUGAAAAAAUUAGAGUGCUUAAAGCGGGCUAGUGCUUGAAUAGAUUAGCAUGGAAUAAUAAAAUAGGACGGCAUGGUUCUAUUUUGUUGGUUUCCAGGAUCACCGUAAUGAUUAAUAGGGAUAGUUGGGGGCAUUAGUAUUCAAUUGUCAGAGGUGAAAUUCUUGGAUUUAUUGAAGACUAACUUCUGCGAAAGCAUUUGCCAAGGAUGUUUUCAUUAAUCAAGAACGAAAGUUAGGGGAUCGAAGACGAUCAGAUACCGUCGUAGUCUUAACCAUAAACUAUGCCGACUAGGAAUCGGACGAAGUUAAUUUUAUAAUGACUCG